rnacentral:rRNA from 1 species
UACGAAGGGGGCUAGCGUUGCUCGGAAUGACUGGGCGUAAAGGGCGCGUAGGCGGCUUGCACCGUCAGAUGUGAAAUUCCUGGGCUUAACCUGGGGGGCUGCAUUUGAUACGUGUGGGCUUGAGUGCGGAAGAGGGUCGUGGAAUUCCCAGUGUAGAGGUGAAAAUGCGCAGAUAUCAGGAAGAACACCCGCGGCGAAGGCGGCUCUCUGGGACGGUACUGACGCUGAGACGCGAAAAGCGUGGGGGAGCGAAACAGG